rnacentral:rRNA from 1 species
GACAGAGGGGGCAAGCGUUGCUCGGAAUCACUGGGCGUAAAGGGCGCGUAGGCGGCCUGGCAAGUGGAAGGUGAAAUCCCUCGGCUUAACCGAGGAACUGCCCUCCAAACUGCUUGGCUUGAGUCCGGGAGAGGUGAGUGGAAUUCCCAGUGUAGCGGUGAAAUGCGUAGAUAUUGGGAGGAACACCAGUGGCGAAGGCGGCUCACUGGACCGGAACUGACGCUGAGGCGCGAAAGCGUGGGGAGCAAACGGG